CUUAGUUUGUAGGGUGGCAGCAAACUUGGGAGUUUAUCAUGUUCACUUAGACUACAUGCCAUUUGGAUUAUGCUGAUGUCUGGCACAUGGAAGACUAUGCUUCCCAGACUCCUACAGUUACACAGGGUCACAAGAAAACUUCUAGCCAAUGAAAUAGCAGCAGAAAUGGUAUGUGUCACUUCCAAGCUGAAACCAUGAAAAAUUUCUAACAACCCGUUAGCUUCUUUUUAUCUUCAUCCAAGAAUGUGGAGGUCUUGUAUGGAGUUGGUAGACAAGAUUAAAGCGGUCUGAACUGCUGAGCCAUCACAAGGACCACGCUUGCCCUGAUAUGUCAGCAAGCAUGAGGCCAUCUUUGGUUCUGAUACAACUGUCAUUGAUCAUGUUCAUGAGUGUAGCUAUGAUACCAGGUCUAACCUGUAUAUCCUCACUUGUUUUCUAUGUCAGAAGAACACAAUAGUGAAAAGCGAUGUUCUUAACGUGAUGAAAAUCUCUCCAAUUCACAAUCAGUUGAAAAUGCUACGGGCCCACUGCCAGAGAGCAUUCUUAUGCUGGAUCUUUUUCUCAGCACCCUAAAUUAACCAGCUGGAAUUCCCUUUUAAGUGCCAACCUAUUCAGCCUUUCAAAAUGCAGUUUUUCUUUUAGUGGGAGAUCUGCCUCUCGUCAUAGAGAUGGAACAAUGCAUUCUUGACUUCUCCCACAAAGCAGACUUUUUUGAAACAAUAAACUCAAAGGAAGGUAAAGACAGAUCCCAGAGCACUUGUUUCAGGCAGGAUAUAUGGACCCUGCCCAUAGAUCAAGGCAGACUCCUAGAGCACUGACUGUCACCUCACAAACGCUUCAGCAGUAACAGCCAGGCGUGCCUGCCUCAUAAGUAAUUCUUCAGGGCAAAAUAAGUCAAGAGAGAAAGAGCUCUUGUAAAUGACUAAUUGAACUAAUUAAGUCUACUGAUGAAGAAGAGCUCCCUGGUCCAGAAGCAAAACACUUGGCACGAUGUUUCAAAAAUGAAGAAAUGCAUAUUCUUCUGGUAUAUCUCAAAUUCUUGUUUGGGAAAAUACAACGCACUACUCAACAUCAUUGUAAUGCCGAGAUACCCAACAUUAAAAAGAAGG